GAUGAACGCUGGCGGCGUGCUUAACACAUGCAAGUCGAGCGAAGCACUUAUGAUGAUUCUUCGGAUGAAUCAUUUGUGACUGAGCGGCGGACGGGUGAGUAACGCGUGAGUAACCUGCCUCAUACAGGGGAAUAACAGUUAGAAAUGACUGCUAAUGCCGCAUAAGCGCACAGGGCCGCAUGGCCCGGUGCGAAAAACUCCGGUGGUAUGAGAUGGACUCGCGUCUGAUUAGCUAGUUGGUGAGGUAACGGCCCACCAAGGCGACGAUCAGUAGCCGGCCUGAGAGGGUGAACGGCCACAUUGGGACUGAGACACGGCCCAAACUCCUACGGGAGGCAGCAGUGGGGAAUAUUGCACAAUGGGGGAAACCCUGAUGCAGCGACGCCGCGUGAGUGAAGAAGUAUUUCGGUAUGUAAAGCUCUAUCAGCAGGGAAGAAAAUGACGGUACCUGACUAAGAAGCCCCGGCUA
rnacentral:rRNA from 1 species